CUCUCUUACAGUAGACAUUGAGUACUUCAAAGAAGCACUUUCCAAAGUAGAUUCCCAGAUGAAAAAUCUUCCUGCAACAGCUCAGGUAGCUUCUCAACAAGGCACAUAUCUUACUGACUGUUUCAAUCGCAUGGAGUUGUGAGAGAAGUAUCCUGAAGGCACUCUUAGGUUCAGGGGUACAGGACGCCAUCGGUUUCAUCCCUUCAGUGAAAGGUACAAGCAUUCUGGGCAAUUUUCUCCUCUGGGAGGAGAAAAGACUACUGCUCAGCUUCCAGGAGAUUGGAUUUCAAUUGGCCAUAGUAGCCGGUGGCUCUGG